rnacentral:tRNA from 1 species
GACCGCGUAGCUAGCUCAGUUGGAAGAGCGUUGGGCUAGUAUUCCAAAGGUCGUAGGUUCGAUUCCCACCGUGGCCA